GCCCCUCCGUCUGUGAUAUUAGCUCUAGUUUUAAAUUAUCUCGAUUCUUGGGAGUCGUGCCGUCACUGUCGGGAGUCACAAAGCGAGGGUCGGCAAUCAAACGACAAACCUAGCGCGUCUCAUCGCGACUUCCACCAGUCGGACGUUUACCGUCGCAAGUCGCAUCGUGAGAGUUUCAAAUCCCACGGUAACUUUCGUGAGUUGAACGGCGAGUGUCGGAGAUCGCAGAAUCAACUGUGUGAGUUAUACCGCGAUUUUUACGAGCCGAAUUGUGAGUGUUCCAAAUCGCAAGGUAACUCGGAGUUGGACGCGGAUCGACUCUUGUCGGUUCACGAGUGUUGCAACUCAAACGAAUCCUCGCGCGAGGCUCACGGGAACCGGCGAGAACCCGUUCGCAAGUGUUCCGAUUCUGGAAAGAUCACAAACGGUCGUGAGUUUUGCAAAUUCUCCGGGUUCUGUCGAGAACCCCUCUUCGAUUUUUCUGAGAUUCGUCAAGAAUCCGUCUGCAAGUCCUCUGGAAAGGGUCGAAAACCCUUCUGCGAGUUUUCUGAGAACUGUCAAGAAGUCGUCUGCAAGUCCUCCGGAAACGGUCGAAAACCCUUCUUUGAUUUUUCCGAGAUUCGUCAAGAAUCCGUCUGCAAUUCCUCUGGAAACGGUCUAAAUUCCUUUCGCGAUCUUCUGAGAACUGUCAAGAAUCCGUCUGUAAGUCCUCUGGAGACAGCCGGAAAUCCUUUCGCGAGUUCUCUGAGAACUGUCAAGAACCCGUCUGCAAGUCCUCCGGAAACGGUCGAAAAUCCUCUACGAGUUUUCUGCGAACUUUAUGAAUCCGUCUGCAAAUCCUCCGGAAACAGUCUAAAUUCCUUUCGCGAUCUUUCUGAGAAGUGUCAAGAAUCCGUCUGCAAGUCCUCUAGAAAGGAUCGAAAACCUUCUGCAAGUUUUUGUGAGAACUGUCAAGAAGCCUUCUGCAAGUCCUCCGGAAACGGUCGAAAAUCCCUCCUACGAGUUUUCUGCGAGCUUUAG
rnacentral:lncRNA from 1 species